rfam:Naumovozyma dairenensis CBS 421 chromosome 10, complete genome
UGUGAAUGAUGAAUUUAAUUCUUUGGUCCGUGUUUAUGACAGGAAGUAAGACCCCUGGUAUGAGUGACAAAAGAGAUGUGAUUGAUUUCACGGUAUCUGACUUU